GUGGUCUAUGAAUUGAUGUCCAUCGGCAAUGCCAUUAUUUCAGAUACGUCUUUUGUUUCUUUCUCUAGUUUUUUCCCCAUUUUUAGUUCUCCUGACUAUUCCGAUUAAGGUUUCGUUUUGGUUCGAACAUUUUAGGUUUUCCGCAAUUUUCAUAUAUUUUUGGUUGUUAGAUUUUACGGAUAUUAAUCUCUCAUAUGUGUUCAUCCGACUCCAAUAUGUCCAAUUAGGGUUUUCAAAUUUUUUUUUUAAAUUUCAGUUUAAGCAUAGGAAAUUUGGGAAAGAAUAAUAGAACUUAUUGCGUAGAUUCGAAUUUUAAGCUAUUUGUUCUUAGUUAAAUGAACCUAUUUUUUACUGGGUUAACGGUGAUGUUAAUGAUGUUAAUACGUUGCAAUUUGAAUUGUAUUGUGAAUUUCUGACGAUAAAUCUUGGGAGUACUAAUACUCCAUAUUUAAAUGGUGAUAAAAUUAGGAAUUUUUUUUUACAAACUAAUACUUCAGGAUUUUGUUAUCAUCUUUCGAUAUUUCUAAAACUAAUAUGGAAACACGAAGAUUUAUAUUCAUAUUGCUAAGUUUUCUGUAGGACUUAAAAUGGCCUGUCUAGAUGAAUUAGCUACAGGAAAUGCAGUAGUAGUUUCUUUGUGAUUGGAGAUAAACUACAGGAAAUGCAAUUGUAGUUGUAGUUUGGUUAAAAUAUAAAAUAAAUUUCUUGGAAUCUAUUUAUUGAUGUAUUAGUCCUUUAGAUUGAGCGAGGAUUUAACUCAAUCUAAUUUAGAAACGAUAAUGCUAACAUGUAAUCAUCUGCUUGACAAGUAUACUCAACUUACUUCAGAUAUUUCUAUCAGGUCCUAAAUGCUAAUUAGUUGAAUUUGGGUAAUUAUACUUUGUUGGGGGUGGUAACUACACACUAUGGGUAUAUUUAAUUGUUGAAGUAUAUUUGAUAUGUGGUUUUGUUUCUGGUAUAGGUUGAAGGAAAUGAUCUUUGAUCAUUAGCAUGAUGAGCUUUCCAUUACACUCCUUUGGGGAGAGCCAUUCUUGGACCUUGCUAGAUUGUCAAGGCUAUCACUAAAACGCAUCUCCAUGACGAUCAUUGCCGCCUCUGGAGAUGUUAAACGCGAGGAUAUUGUAGCGCUUGUAGAAUUUUUUUUUACAAAGUUUCAACGGAUCCAACCACCGCUGCUCAAUUAGUUGUCCAGGAAUCAACCUCAUUAACUGGUUCAGAGACAAUGUUGACCUCUUGGACCAAAAAUACUGGUGGCAUGAAGCAUAAUGGGGUGAGUGUUAUAUAGUCCAGUGACCUGUUUGUUAUUUAUUUAAAAGAAAAGUUUAUGACUUUGUUACUAGCAUACUGUUAUUUCUUGC